UGAGUGCGAGCGGCUACGGCCGCGAAGUGGGUGAUGUCAAGCUUCCAAGAAAAGCCCUAUACCCGUUAAGGCAUGAUGGCCUGUACCCGAAACCGACACAGGUGGGGUGGUAGAGAAUACCGAGGGGCGCGAGGUAACUCUCUCUAAGGAACUCGGCAAAAUGGCCCCGUAACUUCGGGAGAAGGGGUGCCACCGCAAGGUGGUCGCAGUGAAGAGGCCCAGGCGACUGUUUACCAAAAACACAGGUCUCCGCUAAGUCGCAAGACGAUGUAUGGGGGCUGACGCCUGCCCAGUGCCGGAAGGUUAAGGAAGCUGGUCAGCGCAAGCGAAGCUGGCGACUGAAGCCCCGGUGAACGGCGGCCGUAACAAUAACGGUCCUAAGGUAGCGAAAUUCCUUGUCGGGUAAGUUCCGACCCGCACGAAAGGCGUAACGAUCUGGGCGCUGUCUCGGAGAGAGGCUCGGCGAAAUAGAAUUGUCUGUGAAGAUGCGGACUACGUGCACCCGGACAGAAAGACCCUAUGAAGCCUUACUGUAGCUUGGUAUUGUGCCCGGGCUCUGAAUGCGCAGGAUAGGUGGGAGGCUUUGAUCCAUGGCUUGCGGGUCAUGGUGAGCCAACGGUGAGAUACCACUCUUUCAGAGCUAGGGUUCUAACGGUCACCCGUCAUCCGGGGACCGGACAGUAUCAGGUGGGCAGUUUGACUGGGGCGGUCGCCUCCUAAAAGGUAACGGAGGCGCGCAAAGGUUUGCUCAGGCUGGUUGGAAAUCAGCCGACGAGUGCAAAAGCAGAAGCAAGCUUGACUGUGAGACCUACAAGUCGAACAGGGACGAAAGUCGGCUUUAGUGAUCCGACGGUUCUGAGUGGAAGGGCCGCCGCUCAACGGAUAAAAGUUACUCUAGGAUAACAGGCUGAUCUCCCCCAAGAGUUCACAUCGACGGGGAGGUUUGGCACCUCGAUGUCGGCUCAUCGCAACCUGGGGCUGAAGUCGGUCCCAAGGGUUGGGCUGUUCGCCCAUUAAAGCGGUACGCGAGCUGGGUUCAGAACGUCGUGAGACAGUUCGGUCCAUAUCCGGUGCACGCGCAGGAACAUUGAGAGGAUUUCUCCCUAGUACGAGAGGACCGGGAGGAACGCACCUCUGGUGUGCCAGUUAUCGUGCCAACGGUAAACGCUGGGUAGCCAUGUGCGGAGUGGAUAACCGCUGAAAGCAUCUAAGUGGGAAGCCCACCUCAAGAUGAGUGUUCCCAUGGCAUAAGCCAGUAAGGUCACGGGAAGAACACCCGUUGAUAGGCUCUACGUGGAAGCCGGGUAACCGGUGAAGCGGAGGAGUACUAAUAGACCGAGGGCUUGACCGG
rnacentral:rRNA from 1 species